rnacentral:rRNA from 1 species
AUUGAACGCUGGCGGCAUGCUUUACACAUGCAAGUCGAACGGCAGCGCGGGCUUCGGCCUGGCGGCGAGUGGCGAACGGGUGAGUAAUGCAUCGGAACGUGCCCAGUAGUGGGGGAUAGCCCGGCGAAAGCCGGAUUAAUACCGCAUACGACCUGAGGGUGAAAGCGGGGGACCGAAAGGCCUCGCGCUAUUGGAGCGGCCGAUGUCGGAUUAGCUAGUUGGUGGGGUAAAGGCUUACCAAGGCGACGAUCCGUAGCUGGUCUGAGAGGACGACCAGCCAACCUGGAACGGGGCAAGGCCCCGGACUCCUCCGGGAGGAGGCGGUGGGAAAUUUUGAACAAUGGGGCAAACCCGAUCCAGCCAUGCCGCGUGCGGGAAGAAGGCCUUCGGGUUGUAAACCGCUUUUGUUCGGGAAGAAAUCCUCUGGGCUAAUACCCCGGGGGGAUGACGGUACCGGAAGAAUAAGCACCGGCUAACUACGUG